CGCCGAGCAGGGCAUCUCGAGGGUGAAUCUCCUCACGGGAGCAACUAGCACGGGUUAUGCGGCGACGAAGAGCGGCGUUCGCGACUCGCCAGCAUCUGCGACUCUCUCUCGAUUUUUCAGGUUCUCAACCCGAGACCGCCUGACCCCUGAAAACUCAGGAAAGACUCCCGCAAUGGCGCUCAUGGAUACCAGACACGUCGACUCCAGAAUAACAAAGACCAAUUUCAAGGAAACACCAUAAUGGACAGGUACCUGAAUAUUUUUAUUUUCAAUUACGCAGGCUAAUUUGUGGUGGUCUUCGCAUUUCAUUACCGUGGCAGGAAGCGAUAUGAAAAUUGAGGAGGUCAGGUUGAUUAUUUUUUCGUGACCGAGGUUUUUUUGAGGAGAACUGGAAAGCGGUAGUUUCCGCGAUUAGGGAAUAGGAGGCUCCCUCGGAUGAGAACACCUGUGUUCGGGCUGGAUACCUGCUCUUCGCGGUUACUCCUCCUGCCACGUCCUUCUCAUCUUCUCCCUCUUAGGACCCAAGCUAGGCC